rnacentral:rRNA from 1 species
CGCGUAGGCGGUCCGCUAAGUUGGAUGUGAAAACUCUGGGCUUAACCCAGAGCCUGCAUUCAAAACUGACGGGCUAGAGUUCUGGAGGGGGUAGCGGAAUUCCUGGUGUAGCGGUGAAAUGCGUAGAUAUCAGGAGGAACACCGGUGGCGAAGGCGGCUACCUGGACAGAAACUGACGCUGAGGCGCGAAAGCUAGGGGAGCAAACA